rnacentral:snoRNA from 1 species
UCCAGCGGUAGUCAGCUACCCAUUGCUGCUCAGUGCCUGUGAUAGUGUUAUGCUGCUGGGAGAGCAACGUGCUGCCGAGUGGCUCCUGGCACCACCAGUGCUGUUCUAGCACCGGAUGGUAAUGGGUUUUGGCAGCACCCUGCAUGCUUGAGAGUGGAGUAACUCCUUCUCCGUGGAGUUAAUCCUAGAUUGGAUGCAGACAAU